UUCUAUCACGUUCCCCAUUCGAGGACAUUCCUAUAUGGAAUGUGAUAAGAAUUUUGGCCUCGUAAACCAAAAAAGCAGAGCAGAUCUUCCCAAAGACUGGUUGAAAAUAUUAGAAGAAUCCCGCCAUUCCCCAACUCCAUUUACGGUUAUCGAGGUCAAGCACACCUUUUUCCGCAGCUGGGGAAAAUUUCUUGACAAUAGUUACGCAAAAAAGUCGCCAUUUCCAUCUAGACCAAUCAGAGAAAUUAAGAUAAAUAGAGGACCUUUGAUACAGUAUCGCACUACAUAUAAUUGAUGUUGGGAGUCAGCUUCGCUCCAAGGAAAAAACCGAAAGUCUUCGCGAUUAGCUGUUCGUCAUCUUCAAGACAACGAAUUUAUGCUACCUGAGUUAAGUUAUGAAGGGCAGCUUUCAAUAUCUGCUGAGAAGUUUCGGGACCUGCAGCAUUUAAAAAAGUUUUGCAACAAAGCAGCGCAAGACUUUUUUUCAAACCUGCCGCAUCACUAAUUAACGAAUUGGAAUAUUGUUUGGAGCCUUUCGCACUAACGACGAUCGAGGUUAUGAUUACUGUGAAAGAACAGGCUCAUUUCAAUAAAAUGGACCUCUCUUUCCCCUGUCACUUUUGUACCUGUA